AAGUCGUAACAAGGUUACCUUCUGCAGCACAGCUCCGGAGACCUUGCAUCCCUACGGGGAGGGAGCACGACCAUAAAUAAAGCUCCCGCAUGCAAGUUGGCUACGGCCAGCAACACAAUCGAAUUGCGGGGACCUCCUAAAGCCUGUAACACCAACCGCCCGAGGAAACUCGGGCGGGGCCCUCACGGGGUGGUAAAAGAGUACAGGAUAUACAAUGGACGAUCCGCAGCGAAGACCCUACCGGCGAAAGCCCACGGGUCCCGUUCACAGACUAAGUGAUUGUGGGUAGAGUGCUCGGCACCCUUCUAAGAUAUAGUCGGUCUCUGUCCUAAUAGACGGACCUAGUGCGUCCGUAGGUGAACCUGCGGAAGGAUCAUUAUUGAAAAAAGGACAAGACGCCCCCGUUUUUUUCCGUAAAAAUGGGUUCAAUACCCACAACCGUGUAUACCUUACCUUUGUUGCUUUGGCAGGCCGCCUCCGGGCGUUGGCUUCGGCUGACAGCGCCUGCCAGAGGACCCAAACUCUGUGUUUAGUGUUGUCUGAGUAAUAUAUAAUAUUUUUAAAAAG
rnacentral:misc_RNA from 1 species